rnacentral:rRNA from 1 species
AUGAACGCUAGCUACAGGCUUAACACAUGCAAGUCGAGGGGCAGCAUUUUAGUUUGCUUGCAAACUGAAGAUGGCGACCGGCGCACGGGUGAGUAACACGUAUCCAACCUGCCGAUAACUCCGGGAUAGCCUUUCGAAAGAAAGAUUAAUACCGGAUAGUAUACGAAUAUCGCAUGAUAUUUUUAUUAAAGAAUUUCGGUUAUCGAUGGGGAUGCGUUCCAUUAGUUUGUUGGCGGGGUAACGGCCCACCAAGACUACGAUGGAUAGGGGUUCUGAGAGGAAGGUCCCCCACAUUGGAACUGAGACACGGUCCAAACUCCUACGGGAGGCAGCAGUGAGGAAUAUUGGUCAAUGGGCGCGAGCCUGAACCAGCCAAGUAGCGUGAAGGAUGAAGGCUCUAUGGGUCGUAAACUUCUUUUAUAUGGGAAUAAAGUUUUCCACGUGUGGAAUUUUGUAUGUACCAUAUGAAUAAGGAUCGGCUAACUCCGUGCCAGCAGCCGCGGUAAUACGGAGGAUCCGAGCGUUAUCCGGAUUUAUUGGGUUUAAAGGGAGCGUAGGUGGAUUGUUAAGUCAGUUGUGAAAGUUUGCGGCUCAACCGUAAAAUUGCAGUUGAAACUGGCAGUCUUGAGUACAGUAGAGGUGGGCGGAAUUCGUGGUGUAGCGGUGAAAUGCUUAGAUAUCACGAAGAACUCCGAUUGCGAAGGCAGCUCACUAGACUGUCACUGACACUGAUGCUCGAAAGUGUGGGUAUCAAACAGGAUUAGAUACCCUGGUAGUCCACACAGUAAACGAUGAAUACUCGCUGUUUGCGAUAUACAGUAAGCGGCCAAGCGAAAGCAUUAAGUAUUCCACCUGGGGAGUACGCCGGCAACGGUGAAACUCAAAGGAAUUGACGGGGGCCCGCACAAGCGGAGGAACAUGUGGUUUAAUUCGAUGAUACGCGAGGAACCUUACCCGGGCUUAAAUUGCAACAGAAUAUAUUGGAAACAGUAUAGCCGUAAGGCUGUUGUGAAGGUGCUGCAUGGUUGUCGUCAGCUCGUGCCGUGAGGUGUCGGCUUAAGUGCCAUAACGAGCGCAACCCUUAUCGAUAGUUACCAUCAGGUUAUGCUGGGGACUCUGUCGAGACUGCCGUCGUAAGAUGUGAGGAAGGUGGGGAUGACGUCAAAUCAGCACGGCCCUUACGUCCGGGGCUACACACGUGUUACAAUGGGGGGUACAGAAGGCGGCUACCUGGUGACAGGAUGCUAAUCCCAAAAACCUCUCUCAGUUCGGAUCGAAGUCUGCAACCCGACUUCGUGAAGCUGGAUUCGCUAGUAAUCGCGCAUCAGCCAUGGCGCGGUGAAUACGUUCCCGGGCCUUGUACACACCGCCCGUCACACCAUGAGAGUUGGGGAUACCCGAAGCCUGUGAGCCAACAGUUAAAUGAGGCAGCAGUCGAAGGUAGAAUCAAUGAUUGGGGUG